rnacentral:tmRNA from 2 species
GGGGAUGUCAAGGCUUCGACAUGAUUGAUAAACUUAUUGGUUCAGUAGGGUCUGCCCUUUAUAGCUCAAGGUAAAAAUAACCGACAAAACAUCUAAACAACUAGCUGAAGAAAACUUUGUUUUAAAUCAGUUAGGAAACAACUACGCUUUAAAUUUCUAAAUAAAUAAUAUAUAAAAAGCGGGCUUAAUUUUCUUAUAGAAAAUUAAUGCUAAUUCGGAUAAAACUAAAUUUUGUUCUUGUUUGAAGUUUUACUUAUUAAUAUUGAUUAAUAAGUUUUAUAUUAAGCAAUUACUACGAACUAAAUAAUUGAAGUUUAUAACUUAGUUCUAAAAAACUAAACUUCUAAACUGUAAAUAAAACUAAUCUGAUGAGUCGAUUGUGGAAACGGGUUCGAUUCCCGUCAUCUCCACCA